rnacentral:rRNA from 1 species
AUUGAACGCUGGCGGCAGGCCUAACACAUGCAAGUCGAGCGGUAACAGAGAGUAGCUUGCUACUCUGCUGACGAGCGGCGGACGGGUGAGUAAUGCUUGGGAAUAUGCCUUAUGGUGGGGGACAACAGUUGGAAACGACUGCUAAUACCGCAUGAUGUCUACGGACCAAAGUGGGGGACCUUCGGGCCUCACGCCAUAAGAUUAGCCCAAGUGGGAUUAGCUAGUUGGUGAGGUAAUGGCUCACCAAGGCGACGAUCCCUAGCUGGUUUGAGAGGAUGAUCAGCCACACUGGGACUGAGACACGGCCCAGACUCCUACGGGAGGCAGCAGUGGGGAAUAUUGCACAAUGGGCGCAAGCCUGAUGCAGCCAUGCCGCGUGUGUGAAGAAGGCCUUCGGGUUGUAAAGCACUUUCAGUAAGGAGGAAAGGUUAAGUGUUAAUAGCACUUAGCUGUGACGUUACUUACAGAAGAAGCACCGGCUAACUCCGU